GAUGAACGCUGGCGGCGUGCUUAACACAUGCAAGUCGAACGGACAAGAUGAAGCCUAGCGAUUCUUGUUAGUGGCGGACGGGUGAGUAACGCGUGGGUAACCUGCCUCACACUGGGGGAUAACAGUUAGAAAUGACUGCUAAUACCGCAUAAGCGCACAGCUUCGCAUGAAGCAGUGUGAAAAACUCCGGUGGUGUGAGAUGGACCCGCGUCUGAUUAGCUAGUUGGUGGGGUAACGGCCUACCAAGGCAACGAUCAGUAGCCGGCCUGAGAGGGUGAACGGCCACAUUGGGACUGAGACACGGCCCAAAACUCCUACGGGAGGCAGCAGUGGGGAAUAUUGCACAAUGGGGGAAAACCCU
rnacentral:rRNA from 1 species